GUGGUUGCUGGGUGGGGUCUCUCUACCAGUGCUGUGUAGAGGCUUUUGCUGAGGCUGCUGUGAGACUGUAGAGUCUCCCCCUGGGCUGUGGAGCCGG
rnacentral:pre_miRNA from 1 species